ACUCCUACGGGAGGCAGCAGUGGGGAAUAUUGCACAAUGGGCGCAAGCCUGAUGCAGCCAUGCCGCGUGUGUGAAGAAGGCCUUCGGGUUGUAAAGCACUUUCAGUCGUGAGGAAGGCGGGUACGUUAAUAGCGUAUUCGUUUGACGUUAGCGACAGAAGAAGCACCGGCUAACUCCGUGCCAGCAGCCGCGGUAAUACGGAGGGUGCGAGCGUUAAUCGGAAUUACUGGGCGUAAAGCGCAUGCAGGUGGUUUGUUAAGUCAGAUGUGAAAGCCCGGGGCUCAACCUCGGAAUAGCAUUUGAAACUGGCAGACUAGAGUACUGUAGAGGGGGUAGGAAUUUCAGGUGUAGCGGUGAAAUGCGUAGAGAUCUGAAGGAAUACCGGUGGCGAAGGCGGCCCCCUGGACAGAUACUGACACUCAGAUGCGAAAGCGUGGGAGCAAACAGGAUUAGAUACCCCGUGGUAGGACAGUG
rnacentral:rRNA from 1 species